rnacentral:ribozyme from 1 species
GGGAGAGCUUGUCUCUCCCACCCUUGUAAUGCAGCCACUGACAGUGACAAGCCUGUGUAAAUGCAGAGUCAAA